CGUAUCAGAACUAGUUGUCUAUUGCUAGUUGGGUAAAGAUAAACUAGAAAAUUGAAAUUUGAGAAUAAAUGUAUACUUUCGUGCAUUUUUCGUGGUAGAGGAGUUCUUAACUAAUUGUCUGCCCGAUGGAUCUAAAUUUCGAGUCUGAAAAACUACAAUAAGUUUGCCUAAAAUUGUGUAAUGAAACUAUUGACAGAACCGAGAUAAUCGUUCACAGCUAAAUCAGUUGAAAUUCCAUAGUUUCCAGUAAUAAGUAAUGACGGCGAAAUGGAAUCUGCGUUGUACGAGACUCCACUGUGCAACGAUCAUAUGCUAUUUAACUAUUCUAUAAAACAUGAUCAAAAUAUCAAUAGUUACAUUUGACACUGAAAUGAAAUUUUCAUGAAGGGUUUUUUUCAACAAUGAAAAAUUGGGCAGCUCAACCUGCUUCUAACUUCUGACACCCACUCCAACUCUCGACUGCUGUAGCCGGCUUUUAUCUGUAGCAGAUGAACAGAUGAUCUGUGUGAUACUCGUGACGUUCAUAUAUUACUGGCUAGGUUCCAGCCAGAGAUGCCAGGUAAAAAUUUCAAAUAUCUGCAGACAGGGUCUGUAAAUCUGAAAAAAAAAUCUGCAAUCAGCAAGUAUGUCUUGCUGGCAGCAAUUUCUCUAUAAAGUAUGACACGCAUAACUGACUUGGCGAGCAAAAAAAAAAAGGUCGCGGAAAUUUCAAAAGUCUGUAAAUAUAAACUAAAGUCUGCGAGAAUUUCAAAAGUCUGCAAAAAUCUGCGAGAAUUUCAAAAGUCUGCACAACAAAAAAUGUCUGCAGCACUAUACCCCAAAUCUGCAGAUUUACAGACAAAUCUGCAGACCUGGCAUCUCUGGUUCCAGCAGACCCUGUCAGCUUGGAGCGAUCGCAAUCUUCAGUUCAGCAACGCCAUCACACGGCGUCUCAUUCAACAUGUCAUGUCAAUUGUAUGGGUGCGCAGUGCUGCUAUUUUGGCGCGUACGAAUUUGAAAUUUCUCUCCCAUACUUCUAUGUAUACGUGAUUCGAUGCGGACUCGCCUGAGGGCGCCAUGGUCGCGAAAAAGGAUGUUGCCAAAGAUUUGUUCGGGAAAUAUGAGAGCUGGAUAUCUUGUUAAUAUGAUAUCUUUGGUUCCAGGCAACGUGACCAUUUUAGUGCGUAAGUUAAUGUGUUUUCGUAAGUCAAAGCAACAAGUUACGUUUUCUAAACUAGUGCUUGGCAUUUGCGCUGCCUAUUUGUAUGAGAAGAGUGAUCCUAAUCUAAAAAAAACUGUUAUAAUCCACCUAGUGGUGUAAUGAUGCCUUUCUCAUAUCAAUCAUACUAUCAUCUAAAAUACUGUGGUAUUCUUCAAAAUAAUUCUCUUAUAUUCUAAAAAAAAUAACCGAAAUCGGUUUGCUUGACCGUCUACUGAUAAAAACGCAUUUUUCGCCCUUUUCAGUGAUUGUAUAAAAUUUUUAACACACUUUACCCUAUAUUUCCGGAUCCAGAAUUCAGAUUCGGAUGAAAUUCAGGAAUUACGUAUUGGACCACAGGACCUUUCAUUUGAACCUAAGUGUGAAAAUCGGUUGCGCCAUCUAUGAGAAAAGUUAGAACGCAUAUUUUCAUAUUUUUGCUCAUUUUACCCCAUAAUUCCGGAACUGGAAGUCGGAUUCAAACAAUAUUCAAGAAUUUUGUAUGGGACUACAAGACCUUUCAUUUGAAUUUAAGUUUGUGAAAAUCGGUUUAGCCAUCUCUGAGAAAAGUUAGUGCACUUUUUUUCACAUUUUUUUGCACAUUUUACCCCACAAUUCCGGAACCGGAAGUCGGAUCGAAAUAAUAUUCAGGAAUUUUGUAUGGGACGAUAAGACCUUUCAUUUGUGAAAAUCGGUUCAGCCAUCUCCGAGAAAACUUAGUGCCAAAAAACGUUACAUAUACACAUACGCACAUACACACAGACAUUUUGCGUACUCGACGAACUGAGUCAAAUGGUAUAUGACACACGGCCCUCCGGGCCUCGGUUCAAAAGUCGGUUUUCCCAGUGAUUGCAUAACCUUCCUAUAUGAGAAAGGCAAAAAUGGAAUAUUGUGGUCUUCCACAUUAAAAAAAUGAAACCGAAGCACUUUAACAAUUCCAAAAUAUUUAUUUUUUACUAAAAAACCCUGAGUGGUACCAAAAUUGGAAGCAUGAAAAUAUAUGCUUAAAAGCCAAGACAUACAUAUUUAAAAGAUUGUAAACCUUCCCAACAUCUGAUUUUUUUUUAAUUUUUUAGUCAAAAUUCAGAUAAAAUGAAAAUUAAUAGAACCACCCUACCAAAAAAUAUGUUUCCGACAAAAUUACCUGAAAAACUAUUUCUGAAUAAGCACGUCACGUCGAGGUGAUUUGGGUUUCAUCCAAGGAAAAAUUUUACGCUUGUCUCCUGGAACGAAUAACACGUGAAACAAUGUUGCACCAUCGAGGAAAUCCUUUUGAAAUGAAAAUUUCAAGCUUACACCCCUGACAUAUUAGAGUCGCAAAAAAAUUCUUUCGAAAUUAGAGAUUGUUACAAAAAAAAUAUCAAUGUGGAUUUCGAUCCGUCGACUUAUUUGUUGUCAGCGAUAUAAAAUUACACCGAUUAAAAUAAAUAUAGACUCUGAACGUUUUCCGUGAAAAACAAUUUAAAUUAUUAUAUGAGCGCGAGCGCAAACGAGCGCUUUCUAUUGAAACGCUGCAACAAAUUUUUUUGUCACGGUUUUAAAAAAAUGCAAUUUUUAUCGAUUCUCAUACGCCACAGAUUUUGCUGAAAAUGGAAAGAAUCGAAGAUUUUCUGUAGGACUUUAUUCCACGAAUCGAGAAUAUUUAUUUUUCAAAAUUUUUCUCGUCUUUUUGUAAAUUAAAAAUGAUAGAAAUAAUACACUUUUCAUUGCAUUAUCGUUUUAAGUACAUGUACAAACUGUCGUGUACAAUAAUUGAAAAAUAUAUUUAUUAUUAUAGUCUGUUACAUAAGAGCGUGGUCACUGUUGUGAGAAAAUCAAAAGACUCAACAUGAAAAUAUUUUUGAAUAUUGAUUUAUUAGAUCAAAAACUUGCAUGCGAAUACAUUAAUAGCAAGUCUAAUCCAAGUAAUGGACAUUGAAUCGAUGAUUCAGUGUAAGUUACCAAAAAUAUUUUUUGGUUCAUUUUUCUGAAAACCAAUUUUUCGAAGUUCAUGAACACGAUCCAGCAAAACUACUUAACCGAUUCUUUUCCAAACUGGAACAUACUUUUUUGGUAUAAAAUGCCUCCCCUCUACGUCGUUGAAAUUUUGCCUUUAUCAUAUUACAGUUGUUUUUCACCUCAAAAUUGGCGGAAAUUUUAACGUAAGAAGGCGAUUUUAGCUUAAAUAUGCCACGGUGAUGAAAUCAAAAUAAUCAAAUGGUUUUUGAUUCAAAUUAUCCCCUACUCCCCGCUUAACCUUGUUGGUUGAAGUGUUAAAAAUUAUUCGAGAGAAAAUCUCAGGAAUUCUUUUCUUUAAUUCAAAUUAUUCAUCACCAAAACACUAAAAUAUAUACUGGAAUUGAAAAUGGAAAAACCAUUACUAUUUACGCUAUGAGACGCACUGAUAUAAUCCACUUUUUCCGAAGUUCCGCUUUUAACAGUUGGAGUGUAAAUGUAUAAAAUGCAGACUUCCGGUACUGCGUGAAUUACUCCUGACAACACAACAAAAGCGCUCGCCUAAAGAUUUUCUCCUUUUUUGCAAAUUUUUGAGCUCAAUUAAGCGUUGUAAGAAACUAAUCUGAAACAUCUGAAUUUGGAAACUAGAAAUUCAUAAUAACAUAAUAUUUAAAAAAGAAGCAUUUUAUGAGAUUCAUAAGAGCUGAUCGGAUUUGUCAACUGAUAAAGUUGUAAUGUAUUGUUUUGAGUACCCAAAUUUCUAGAACUCGUAUUUUUUAUGGGAACUUCCAAGUAUCUGAGUUCUAAAAAGUCUUCAAGGAAUUACUUAGAUGUAUUAGUCGACAACAACAAGUAUCACAUUCAGCAUUGAAAUCAAAAAAAAAUAAACAAUUUUGCUAUAGGACCAUUUUGGUAAUGAAUUGAACGACAAAAUUGACCGUGUUAAACAGCAUGCUCAAACAUGUCUCCCUCAUAUUAGUCAAUUAAAAAUACUCAUGGUUUAUAACUAUCCACAGAAAAGGGCUGCUUUACUAGCGAACAAAAUGUGCCGUAAGCCCACAGCACUCAAUCACUAAAAAUAUUCCUUAUUUCUAUGUGUCGGUUUUGCACGAUACUCUUUGUGCGAUGAUUCGUUCAAUUCAUGUGUUUGGAAUUUUGCGUGCCUUAUUUUGGCACUGAAUUUUACCUUAAUGCUCGUUCAUAGCAAAACUUAAACUUUAGCGGCCCUUUCAUGAGAAUUAUUAAUGUCAUUUUAAUUGAUUACUAAAGAAAUGACAUUCAAAACUUGUAUGUAGAAUCCAUCAUUACUGCCCUUACACGUUCAUUAAAAUGACAUUACAUUUUAGUAAUGACUUUUCUAAUCAAGGAUGGUUUUUAUCGUAUCAAAGAACGUUCACUGGCAACUUUUCAAUGAUUGAAUCAGUGCCAUCAAAAGCGGCCCUUACACGAGCAUUAUUAUUGUCAUUUUUAAUGAUGUCUAAGUAAUGAUGUAUUUUAAAUUUGAUAGAAAUCUCGUCAUUACUGCACCAUUACACGUUCAUAAAAAUGACAUUAUUUUUUAGUAAUGACACUUUUAAUGAUAGUGUAAGGUCCGCUAAAGAGAGUUGGAAAUCAUCGCAACAACAAAAACCCGGCAUGGCUCAUUUAACAUAGAAUCGACACCAGUGCGAGAGCGAAUUUCUCUCGAUGACAUUUCUGAGAAUCAAAGGUUAGCACGCUGCUGUGGGGAUCUUCUCUGAUGCAACAAACGGUCGCUUAUUCUCGUUUCGCGAUCCGAAUUUAUACAGGCAGUUGAUAAUUGCGAUAAAAUCAUUUUACUAUUGCCGCUUAUUCUAACUAUGUGCAUAUAAUCUUUGUAUAAGUUGUGUCUAUGAAAAUUUCUGUGAAUACUCCACACAAGGGUUUUGAAAUAUUGCAGCCUAGUAUGAGAAUCAUCAAGUUGAAUCAUCGAUUCCAUUUCCUACGAUAAUUGUCAACUUGCGAUUCUCUCUUGGGAAAUUCCACACAGCAACGAUCAUUAUCAGACUGUAUUUUUUUUAAGAGCCGUGAAAUACUCAGAGUAAGAAGUGGAGCGAAGGAAUGUAGAAAAAUUCUCUCGUGGUUCAUGCAUUGAGAGACUCGAGUUCUUGUAGCAUCUUCUACCGGAUUGAAAAUGUUGUAUACUAUAUAGAUAGCAAUAUAGCAGCUUCUGUCAAAUUUUCGGCAAUCACCAACACUGGAACUUCUAAUCAUCGUGUAAGGGCCGCUUUUGAGUUACUUUUGGACGUAUCAUACUACUGAAACAGAGGUCCAUUGUGGAGCCAUUUUUAAUAUGAGGAGUUGGAGCCCCAUUGGACUAGUUUUACUGGAGAAUUUUGGAAGUUUUUAUCCACUUUUUUUUAAUAAACACUACUGUAACAUAAGUAAAAACAACAACAAACCGUCCCUGCAAACUGAACGAUUAUUUCGAGCAGCAUGCCGUUCAACAAACGCUUCACGACCAACAAAAUAUAAUCGCUUCCUAAGUAGGUGAUAAUUGCAAUUAUUUGUGUAAUAUUUUCGAUAGUCUACAUAUUUAUUACAUUGUUAAACUCAUGCACUUAAAAGCAUGUUAAACAAGGAGGUGCUUUAGUGGUUCGAAUACCUUCUGAAACUAUCAUAUUCUAUUAUUAUUCGGAUACCUUAUGAAACUCAAGAAAUUAUCAUAUACUUAUUCUCCUCUUUAAACAUUUAAGUCAAUUAUAAAUUAAAUAAUUUCCAAUAAACGUCUUUGAAACCAAAAAGUUUUCAAAUCAUUUAAUAAACAUUUCCAAUCGUAUGGAAAUUAAUCAACAUGUUCUGAAACACUCUCCGAAAAAAAUUUCGAAAUCAUGCAAAUAUUCGAAGGCUUCACAGAAAGUCUUUUACUAAAUGUAUCAUUUGAUUGCAAAUUACUUUCACAUUAGAAAGGAAAAAUGUUAAAAAUCGAUUGAACCGUUUUCAAUGCAAGCAUGCAACAUUGAACUGACGUAUCCAAACCACUACAUUUCGUUUGAGGAUGUGUAAACAAAAAUGGGAUGUUUCGUUCGUACGAACGAAUCUCGAAUACGCGAAAUAUUCGAAACUAAGAUGGCAUACAUUCGCAGAGAUCUACCCAAAAUCAACUGAAAUUUUUUGUACACUUUCCUAAACAAACUAUUAUAGCCAUUUUAUAAAAUAAAGUAAGGAUGAAUUUUAGUCGUCA